CACUGCAUAGGAGCUCCAAUGGGGUCCUCGCUCCUUGUUUUCUCGCGGACGACCUCUACACCAGUACGUCACCAUGCCACCACGAGCCCCAUCGCUCCCUCCUCUCCAAGGAACAGCUGCAUAUAUUGGGAUUGCCAAAUAGAAGAGGUCACCUGGGAGUGGAUUCAGGAGAUGAAAGAUUCCAUGAUGACUCUGUUGGAGCAUACCAAUUGCAUGGACAAGUAUUGCAGCUGGUUAAUUUGUUGCUUGCCAAUUUUUAUUCCAUUAUCCAUGAAAGUGUUCUGAUAUAUAAUAUAAUUAAGGUGUUCCAUCCACGGACACUCAACAAGCAGUAAGAUUGGAUGAUACUUAGUUUAACCAAAGAUUUCCAAGUCCUAAGGUGCUGGUUCCAGUUGUUGAAAGAGCCCAGCAGCUUCGUGGCGGCAGUGCGUCUUCUGCUCUUUCCGUAUGAUAUAUAGCUCUCAUGUGGUUUUGUAUUCUGUGUUUCUUACCUUUGCAAUGGUUAUCUUUGACAGAGACUGUAAAUUUCCUAAUGAUUUUCCUCUUAUUGUAGAUUUCCUCUAUAGUGUCCGUGUCUCAUGUUGUUUUCCUGAUGCUUGUAGGCUUUUGUCGAUAUGUAGAAUGAAGCAUAGAUUAUUUUGCACUUCAUUUCUGAAGUUUAUAAAAAAAGAGGAGAUUCCUACCUCUUAAUAAAGUUGUGUCCAAUGUCCUCCCUGUGUUGGCGAUGACCCAGGCAAUUAGCAUUCCAGAGUAUGACUCAGACAACAAACCAUUCCAAGAGACAGUUAAACCUAUGGUAGAUGGUGGAACAGAAGGUUUCGAAGGUUAUGCUAGAGUCAUUAUGCCAAGGAUAACACCUUGUUUUGAGCGCAACAUAUGGAUUUUCUCUCCCUAUAUAAAGUUUCCAUUA